rnacentral:rRNA from 1 species
UACGUAGGGGGCUAGCGUUGUCCGGAAUCAUUGGGCGUAAAGCGCGUGUAGGCGGUCCGGUAAGUCCGCUGUGAAAGUCGGGGGGCUCAACCCUCGGAUGCCGGUGGAUACUGUCGGGCUUGAGUACGGAAGAGGCGAGUGGAAUUCCUGGUGUAGCGGUGAAAUGCGCAGAUAUCAGGAGGAAUACCGAUGGCGAAGGCAGGUCUCUGGGCUAUAACUGACGCUCAUGCACGAAAGCGUGGGGAGCAAACAGG